GCAAAUAAAUUCCUGGGCUUCAAUGGCUGGUCUGUCUCUCUCAAAUGUACUGACAGCUGAAACCUAAUGCUACAUGAGGAACACACCUACAAAGUGAGAGAGGUGUGUGUGGUCAGACUGGACCUGAAGACUGAUGGUCUACACGCAGAGGGGCUGGGAGCUUGGGAGGAAAUCUACUGCACCAAUGAUCCCACCAGUAGAGGAAAGGCUGUAUGUAAAUGUAAGAAGUUAGCAUAUCAGCGUGCUGUAGAGAACGCCUUUUCCAAAGUCAUCAUAGUGGUGUUAUCCAAUGGGAAGGUAGCCGUAGAAGUGGACACCACUCAGCCCGAGCUCUUACUGACAGAGAAGGUGCUGGAUGAUGAGAAUGUACUAAAGAUAAAUGAAAUUGAUACAGACACGCUGAUGUUUGAAGAUGAUGAUGUCACCCUGAGUGAAGUCCCUGAGGAAGACAUAGAUGCUGCAAAUCUCCAUAUACUGCACGAGUUAGAGGAAGUCUGAAUGUGGCAGUUUCUGUUCACUGAACAUAACAGAUGCUUUCACCUCUUCAUACAUUUACUGCAAAAGCUCAAGGAAAUCUGCAGGAAUUUUUCCAGUCUCAGAAUUGCAGUGAAAAAUAAAUUCAGUGUGAGGAACUUCAAAUCUGCAACCUCUGUGUAUUUCAGAAAGCGUGGAAAAAUGCUACACCAAGAUAUCGACAAGGAUGUAGACUGCUUCAUAGGCUUUGCACAGCCUUUUGAAUGUGAAGAGAAAAAUGAGCAUAUUAAUUUGAAUAAAUCAAGAAGUUAUCUCUACUAGCUUGGAACUGGAAUGGAAAAAAGUGUGAUUUUUAGACUAACAUAAUAAUUGUGUAGUUUGAUGUUGCUUAAUUUUACAUUUGAUUAUGAACAUCACAAGUAUGGUAAUUAACAAUUUCCAUUUUUCAGGUGUAUAUGUCUAUAUGAUGUUGAUUUCCCACAAUGCUUAGUACCAUAGACCUCUUUCACCGAUGGUGUACACCUGCCAAAGGUUGUAUUUUUGUCCCUAUCCAUAGCAGACCUAUUAAAAAUGGAUAUCACAUGUACAUGUACAUAAUAUUGAUUUGCACCAGUAUAGCAGAAAAGAAAAAAAAUGGAACCAAAGAUAUUUUCUUUUUAACCUACAUGAUUAAUUGAUGACAAACAACCUCAUACUAAACACGAUUUAUAAACCAAUGAGCUACCCAACCUCUUUCUGGAAACUUUUUGACCCCAGUGAAACUUUAUGACCUAUUUAAAAGUGCACGUGAGGGAAGUAUGAUAAAGUGAAUCCCUACUAUUUUAUGUUGGUUUUACCAAAGAAUAAAUACACAAUCUGCAAUGUAUUGCGUUAGCUCCAUUUAAAUUCUCUGGAUUUCAAUGAAAGUGGAUAAUGUCAUUUUAAAUGGGAUUAUAUAGAAUUUUUAAAAUAAUGUUUGUGUUUGUUUUAAAACUAGACCUUUGACUAAAAUUCAGCUUGAUUUUUUCUAUGCUCUCUGAAUUUACGUUUAAUUUUUAGGUAUUCAAACUUGAUUUGACUUGCGUGCGUGUUUCAAAGUCGCGACAUUGUGCACUGUUUAGAGAUGAAAGCAUGGAUGUUGAAAAAUUAAAAUUAGGUUUUUCCUUUUAAUUGUGAAACACAGUUGAUACCAUACGUAUACAAUUGCUACAAUUCUUUCUAUCCGAUAAUUUGUUAGAAAUUUAAUCAAAAUAGUUUAUUGAUUUUUUUUUCUUUCUUCAUCACCCGUGACAUGAAAGACUUAAAUGGCUGUCUCGAGUCUAUUGGUGUGUUAAUUACACGGUUCUUGUUCAAUUUAUGUAGGACCCCAGAACAAAAUGACGCUCAGGGAGAAACCCCCUUUUAUAAUUUUUUAGAUUUGAAUUAAUAAAGGGGAAAUGCAGUGUGACUUUGAUGACACCUUUUUUCUCCUGUUUAAAGGAAGCGUUUAUAUUGGCGCACUUGAAUUACAUUCAGUGUUUAAAUGGAUGUAAGUAAGCCUUUUCAGAAUGUGUAAACCGCUCUAGUCAGAGUAGUACGGCGUUUUAUAGUGACGUACUUGAGAUGAUUUUCCAAAAGACGAGCUAAUGAUAUUGUAUGUGAUUUAGCGGUAAAUAACAAAAGUAUAUUGGGGAAAUUUUGAAUUCUAUACGACCAAGUAUUAUUCACCUUAAACUGAUACCGCCCUCUGUCUGUGUCAAGCUCUUUGUUGACUAUCUUUCUGUUUGUUCAUAUUCUAUAUUUCGGAAGCAAUGUUUGAAAGAAUUGUUUUUGUGGAAUAAAGACUAUUUUAUUCAAAGU
rnacentral:misc_RNA from 1 species